ACUCCUACGGGAGGCAGCAGUGGGGAAUAUUGGACAAUGGGCGAAAGCCUGAUCCAGCAAUGCCGCGUGCAGGAUGAAGGCCUUCGGGUUGUAAACUGCUUUUGUACGGAACGAAAAAGCUCCUUCUAAUACAGGGGGCCCGAUGACGGUACCGUAAGAAUAAGCACCGGCUAACUACGUGCCAGCAGCCGCGGUAAUACGUAGGGUGCGAGCGUUAAUCGGAAUUACUGGGCGUAAAGCGUGCGCAGGCGGUUAUGUAAGACAGAUGUGAAAUCCCCCGGGCUCAACCUGGGAACUGCAUUUGUGACUGCAUGGCUAGAGUACGGUAGGAGGGGUAUGGAAUUCCGCGUGUAGCAGUGAAAUGCGUAGAUAUGCGGAGGAACACCGGAUGGCGAAGGCAAUCCCCGUGGACCUGUACUGACGCUCAUGCACGAAAGCGUGGGAGCAAACGAGGAUUAGA
rnacentral:rRNA from 1 species